UACGUAGGGGGCUAGCGUUGUCCGGAAUCAUUGGGCGUAAAGCGCGUGUAGGCGGUCCGGUAAGUCCGCUGUGAAAGUCGGGGGCUCAACCCUCGGAUGCCGGUGGAUACUGUCGGGCUUGAGUACGGAAGAGGCGAGUGGAAUUCCUGGUGUAGCGGUGAAAUGCGCAGAUAUCGGGAAGGAACACCGGUGGCGAAGGCGGUUCUGCUGGGCCUUACCUGACGCUGAGGAGCGAAAGCGUGGGGAGCGAACAGG
rnacentral:rRNA from 1 species